rnacentral:lncRNA from 1 species
GUUCUAUUUAACAGAGGCUGGGACCAUGUCUGUCCUUUUCUCUCUGCAGCUCCAGUGCCUACCAUAGUACCUGAACAUAAUAGGUACUCAGUACACAUUUGAUGGAUGAAUAGAUACUGGAUUAUUAGUAUAUCCAACAAAUAUUGGAUUGUAGAGAAACAUUAGUAACAUUAGUCCUCUCCCUCAAGAAUGUGUUGUGACAAGCUAUCCCUAGUUAAAUGAAGAUUUCCUGUGACCAAUCUAAUACACAAUGCCUUCUACACGAGUACUUCAUGACUUCUCUAUGCCUGGCGUUUUACUGGGCAUUUGGGAUUUGAAGAUGAAUACAGGAGAAUUCUUCCUCUUAAGAAGUCUGGACAUAAUUUCAAAUACUGACCAAAGGUACCCAUUCCCAUUAGGAGGAGCAGUUCUGAAGGAGGGAUGUGCUGCCCCAUGUUUCUGUAACUCUCUAAUUUCAAGGCAUUUUCCAUUUCACAGCAUUUUACUCUUUUAAAUAAAAGUGGUUCAUUAAAUGUAGACAAG